rnacentral:rRNA from 1 species
AAUCAACGCUGGCGGCGUGCCUCAGACAUGCAAGUCGAACGCGAAAUUUCCCUUCGGGGAGAAAGUAGAGUGGCGCACGGGUGGGUAACACGUGGGUAAUUUACCUUCGGGUGGGGAAGUAACGUCUCGAAAGAGACGCUAAUACCGCAUGAUGCAGCGGCACCACAUGGUGACAGUUGUUAAAGCGGGGGAGUCGCAAGACCUCGCGCCUGAAGAGAAGCCCGCGGCAGAUUAGCUAGUUGGUAAGGUAAUGGCUUACCAAGGCAACGAUCUGUAGCCGGCCUGAGAGGGCGGUCGGCCACACUGACACUGAAUAACGGGUCAGACUCCUACGGGAGGCAGCAGUCGGGAAUUUUGGGCAAUGGGCGAAAGCCUGACCCAGCAACGCCGCGUGAAGGAUGAAGUAUUCGGUAUGUAAACUUCACAAGAAUGGGAAGAAUAAGUGGGGGAUAACACCCCCAUGAUGACGGUACCAUUUGUAAG